AUUGAACGCUGGCGGCAUGCUUUACACAUGCAAGUCGAACGGCAGCGCGGGCUUCGGCCUGGCGGCGAGUGGCGAACGGGUGAGUAAUGCAUCGGAACGUGCCCAGUAGUGGGGGAUAGCCCGGCGAAAGCCGGAUUAAUACCGCAUACGACCUGAGGGUGAAAGCGGGGGACCGAAAGGCCUCGCGCUAUUGGAGCGGCCGAUGUGGGAUUAGCUAGUUGGUGGGGUAAAGGCUUACCAAGGCGACGAUCCGUAGCUGGUCUGAGAGGACGAGCAGCCACACUGGAGCUGAGACACGGCCCAGACUCCUACGGGAGGCCGCAGUGGGGAAUUUUGGACAAUGGGGGCAACCCUGAUCCAGCCAUGCCGCGUGCGGGAAGAAGGCCUUCGGGUUGUAAACCGCUUUUGUUCGGGAAGAAAUCCUCUGGGCUAAUACCCCGGGGGGAUGACGGUACCGGAAGAAUAAGCACCGGCUAACUACGUG
rnacentral:rRNA from 1 species